AGAAUCAACGCUGGCGGCGUGCCUCAGACAUGCAAGUCGAACGAUUAAACUUUCCUUCGGGAAAGAUAUAAAGUGGCGCACGGGUGAGUAACACGUAAGUAAUCUACCUUCGAGUGGGGAAUAACAUCGGGAAACCGAUGCUAAUACCGCAUAAUGCAGCGGCAUCGCAAGAUGACAGUUGUAAAGGAUUUAUCGCUUGAAGAGGAGCUUGGCGGCAGUAUUAGCUUAGUUGGUAAGGUAACGGUCUUACCAAGGCUACGAUCUGUAACCGGUCUAAGGAGGACGGUCGGUCACAC
rnacentral:rRNA from 1 species